AUCAACUAUCUUUGAGAUAUAGUAUCCAGAAGAUUCUAAUAGGUGGGAUGUGGCAUAGCAGAGAAUGCAUCCCUGAUGGGGAUACUCAAGAGUCUCAGCAGCUCCUGGGGCUCAUCUCGACUUGACCACUCAGGACCGUUGCUCCCAGUGUUACAGUUUAUUUUCCUAAGAUAACCACCCCAUGCUCUCAAAUGCUCUUUGUACAGGUAUCUUUGACUCCCCUCCCAGGACACAAGAGUGAUGCUAUGGACUCCUGAGGCUGGGACAUAAAAGGCCACAUGGCUUCUGCCUAGAUUGCUUGAGAUGUGCUCCCUUGGAAGCCACAUGCAGAGGCCACAUGUGUGCCAGUUAAUGACAGCAGCUGAUAAGUGAAUGUCUUCAGGUGACCCUAGCCUACAGCUGCUAAAUCACGCCUCAGACACCGGGGAACAGAUGAGGCUUCCCCCACUGAGUUCUACCCAAACAGUGGGUUUGCCACCACCCAG
rnacentral:lncRNA from 1 species